rnacentral:rRNA from 1 species
UACGAAGGGGGCUAGCGUUGCUCGGAAUGACUGGGCGUAAAGGGCGCGUAGGCGGUUCGUACAGUCAGACGUGAAAUUCCCGGGCUCAACCUGGGGGCUGCGUUUGAUACGUAUGGACUUGAGUUCGGAAGAGGGUCGUGGAAUUCCCAGUGUAGAGGUGAAAUUCGUAGAUAUUGGGAAGAACACCGGUGGCGAAGGCGGCGACCUGGUCCGAUACUGACGCUGAGGCGCGAAAGCGUGGGGAGCAAACAGG